GGUCAGGAACCAUGCGAAUGGACGCCGCCCAACUCCGUCAGGUCCGGAAGGAAGCAGCGGCAAGCGGAGGUCUGUUGCGCCGUGGCCGUCCUGGCUGCG
rnacentral:SRP_RNA from 1 species